GCAUGCAAAAAUGGCUUUCCUACACACCGAAUCCCAUUCAGGAAUCAGUAAUAUGACGUCUGAUAAUGACACCAGCCUCAUGCCCUGGAUUCUUUUAAGUGACCAGAGUCAACCAGGGAUCAUACUCACUGUGUUUGGAGCAUGUCUCUUUGGAGCUGUUGUCAGAACCCUCUUGCGUACUCUGAAGCUGCCAUAUACUGUACUAUUAGUACUUUGUGGGAUGUUACUAGGAACACUCAGUUUCCAGUAUCCAGAGGUCAGUUAUUACACAAAGGAGAUAGCACACAUCAGCCCCAAACUGUUGAUUCACACGUUUAUGCCAGUGUUGAUAUUCAGUAGUGCCUUCGAAAUCGAAUCCCACAUCUUUUGGAAAU